GACUCCAUAGCUCAGUGGUUAGAGCAUGCGAUUGCAGCUUACGUAUUCAGAUUACGUAAUCGCAGGGUCGGGGGUUCGAAUCUCCUUGGGGUCU